AUACGGAGGAUCCGAGCGUUAUCCGGAUUUAUUGGGUUUAAAGGGUGCGCAGGCGGCCAUUUAAGUCAGCGGUUAAAUCGUGGGGCUCAACCCCAUUCUGCCGUUGAUACUGGGUGGCUUGAUUGCGGUCGAGGUUGGCGGAAUUCGUUGUGUAGCGGUGAAAUGCAUAGAUAUGACGAAGAACACCGAUUGCGUAGGCAGCUGACCAGACCGCAAAUGACGCUCAUGCACGAAAGUGCGGGGAUCGAACAGGAUUAGAUACCCUGGUAGUCCGCACAGUAAACGAUGAAUACUUGUUUUCGGCGAUAUAAUUUCGGAGGCAAAGCGAAAGCGAUAAGUAUUCCACCUGGGGAGUACGCCGGCAACGGUGAAACUCAAAGGAAUUGACGGGG
rnacentral:rRNA from 1 species